GAUCGAGUAGAAGUGUCUGGAUGG
rnacentral:siRNA from 1 species